ACUGGCAGGCUAGAGUCUUGUAGAGGGGGGUAGAAUUCCAGGUGUAGCGGUGAAAUGCGUAGAGAUCUGGAGGAAUACCGGUGGCGAAGGCGGCCCCCUGGACAAAGACUGACGCUCAGGUGCGAAAGCGUGGGGAGCAAACAGGAUUAGAUACCCUGGUAGUCCACGCCGUAAACGAUGUCGACUUGGAGGUUGUGCCCUUGAGGCGUGGCUUCCGGAGCUAACGCGUUAAGUCGACCGCCUGGGGAGUACGGCCGCAAGGUUAAAACUCAAAUGAAUUGACGGGGGCCCGCACAAGCGGUGGAGCAUGUGGUUUAAUUCGAUGCAACGCGAAGAACCUUACCUACUCUUGACAUCCAGAGAACUUAGCAGAGAUGCUUUGGUGCCUUCGGGAACUCUGAGACAGGUGCUGCAUGGCUGUCGUCAGCUCGUGUUGUGAAAUGUUGGGUUAAGUCCCGCAACGAGCGCAAC
rnacentral:rRNA from 1 species